UCCCAUAAUUCUUUUUUCAGGAAUAGUUGCCAGUAUUUACACAGCAGCAUUUCUUCUCAGGCUUAUUGGGUGCUGUUUUGCUUUCUGUGUACUAAGGAAAAUGUCAAACCAGUGCAUUGUGUUCUGGCAAUGGGUGCAGUCAUUGAUGUUCAUAUGCCUUGGGGUAAUAUAUUCCUUAAUUUUCCAUGUGACUUAACAGUUUAAAAAAAAAAGAAAGCGCAGGAUUAGAACAUUAACGACUAGAAAUAACAAUUUUAAAGCUAUUUUGGCACAUUGAUUGUAAAUUGUGUCCCAGUUGUAAACUGAGUUGAUGGGAGUUGCACAAGAUUCAUGCAUAUGUGUAGAAAGUCAUAUUGCGAUAAAGGUAGUAUGAGCAAACUAUUAUUGCACAGGGUCAACAAAAAAUAUGUUGCCAUUUGAAGUUAACGUUACUCGUUUUAAUACAAUAUUACCUCUUUUGUUUUUAUAAAAUGUCCCAACUUCUAAGUUGAUGUGUUCAUUUUGGUUUUUAAUCAAAAAUGUCUCCUGCCAGUAUUACAUGUUCUUUCUGAUAACUUUCGAGGGAGGAUAGCCAAAGAGUGGACGGAGGAAGAAUAUUUUUACGCUAUGGUUAUUCAGUGUACAGCAUAAACCUUCUUCUCUUAAGAUUACAGUUGACCACCAAAAUAAAAUUAAGUAACGUAAAUGACAGAGUGGUUUAAAGGUUACUACCUGAGUUAGUAUUUUCUUAUCACGUUACUUAUUUGACUCUUUUUUUUUUUUUUUUUUUUUUUUUUUCUGCUCUCCUUGACAUGGUGAUUUUUUGUUUUAUUUUUUUUGUCGCCUUUUAGCCAAGGGAAGCUCUUAAUCCUGUGCUUGGUUUAUGACUGGCUGGGUAAUACUAGCUUUAUAAAAUUGCUAACUAAAAGCUGCCACCUCUGUUUUUCUUCACUGAAAUGUUGAUCUUUUUCCCCUCAUACCCUCAGCUAUUAAUUUAAUGUUGCCUUGCCUGUAGCUGCAAUAUUUUGAUAACACGACAUCUUUCAUGUUAAUUUUUUGAAUGUUUAUACAUUGGGAUAAUGCAAAAUGUAAAGCCUUCGUAACCUUACUCACACCAUCUGUAUUUGUCUAUUUCACUUUAUUCAAGUCCUUUAAUUCUAACUGAACACCAGCAGUAUUUUCAGUAAAGCUUCAGCAUUUGAAGAUAAAUAUUGGAAUGUACUUGGGGACUUUAGCUGGGGGUGUGGGGAGGGGAAUAUUUGUCAAACUGUCCGUAGACUUAAUAUUGUGAAUGUCAUUGUUUCAUUUUAUUAUUAUGGUUGAAUUGACUCUGAUGUUCAGUUUGUAAUUUUGGAAUUGCUUUUUUCUUAGAAUUAAAGUCCAACUUUAAAUGUGUGGGGGUUUUUUUGUUUGUUUUUUUGAGAGAAGAAUGAGUUUUGAGUCUGUAUUCUCGUGCAGUACAUACAUGUGAUUUCCUCCUGUCCAUGGUUCCUCUGCUCUGGCUUGCCUGUUGCUCUCCUAGAAAUUCUUGCCCUGCGCAUAGAUACUAACUGGUCUUCCACCUGCACCUGAGAGAUGCUUUGUUGCAAGGUGUUAUGAACUGGAAAAUGCUGCAGUGGUGCUGCUGAAGCUAUUACUAGAGUAGUACAAAUGGCUUUCUCUCAUUUCGUGAAUCUUAUUGUAUGUAAUAAUGGAGUGGAAAAAUACAAAUGUUGCUGUAUGUAAUAAUUUUCUUUUAGUUUAACUUGAUCAUUUUAUGUAUGCAUGUGUGUAAAUAUAUGUAACUCAGCUUUGUUGCAGUCACUGAUUUAGAACCUUUCCCUUGUGUACCAAAUAUGAUAUUUUUUCCACUUUGUAUUAUUUGUAUUACUGUAAUAUUUAGAUAGGAGAAGUCUGUUUUGAGGCCAUCCUAAAAAAUGUAGGCAUCAGAUAAACAAGAAAACAAAGAAAUCAUGACACAUUGCUGGUCCAAACUGAAAUAAACAUCAUAGCAAACUAUUUGUCAAAUCCUUGUUCAGAACAGAAAAUUGAAAAGGCACUUUUGUUUGUCUUUGCCAUGAAGAGGAAUUUUCUGUGCUUUUCCAUUUAUAGCAGGCGUUUUGUAUGAGCUUACUAGGAAAUUUUGUAAGGUCGUUCAGUGAGAUAAGGUCAAUGUUAAUAUUUUGUUUUAGUACGAGAAAUCCAAAUGAGGUCUCAAAGGUGAAGAAAAGCAGUUUAUUGUCUUGCAAGGAGGAAAGAUGAGUAGAUCAAUAGAAAAGUGCCAAGCUUUUGAAACGUCUUACUGAAGUGAUCUUUAGUGUUGUAUUUUAAAAGGAAAUUGGUCUUCAGAUGGAACAUACCAAGGCUGGAGAUGGAGCAGUAGUCAGAACACAAUGAUAAGGAUGAACUGGACAAGAGCAUCUGUUCUGUGCACUGAGGGACAAGGAUGGAUCUUGCAAAUAUUAUGCAGAUUUCUGCAGUGAUUCCAUACACGUGAGAUCAAGUUGUUCUGAUUCUUGUUCAUACCAACAUACUUCGCUUUGCAUCUGUGUGCAUUGUAUGCACAUACGUACGUACAUGUGUUCAAAUUCCCAAGUCCUAGAAACACAAGAACUUAGAUUGUAUUUAAUUAAAAUGAAAAUUUAUUAUUAAUGAAGUCUUUAAAUGGGCUAUGAAAUGCUUAUUAAAAAGCCGUUGAAGGAUUGUUUAAAAAAAAUAAAUAUCAAUUCAGUUUUUA